GCUUUGAAAAGAGAGAAAAACAGUUUUUUCCCUACACUUAGAUUUCAUCAAAGCUCCGAUCUUGAGUCAUCCGUGGUCCAAUAGAGCUGAAAUGCAAGCUUGGAGGCAAUUGACUUGAUCAAGCAACUUUGUUCAUGGGACCCGUUAAAGAGGCCAACCGCAGAUCAAUGCUUACAGCAUCCAUUUUUCCAUGAUCAAAACCAAAUCUUGAACUGAACCUCUGGGACAAUGGCACUUCAAGGGAUGAUUGUUUUCUUGGCUUGACUCUGGCAGUGAACCCCAGUGCUUCAAACUUGGGUAAUAAAAUAGUGCUUUGA